ACUUUCGUAGCUCAGCUAGUUAGAGCAUCCGCUUAGCAAGCGAAGUUCUUGAGUUCGACUCUCAACAAAUAUA
rnacentral:tRNA from 1 species